rnacentral:lncRNA from 1 species
UAGAUUCCUUAUUGACAAACAGGGAGGAGUCUGUAUGGUCAUAAACCCCACCUGUUAUACUCGGGUAUACACUUCAGGACAAAUAGAUGUUAAUAUGAAAGACAAAAGCCUUAUGCCAAAUGCACCUUAUUUUUGUUUGUCUACUACCACUUUUAGGAGCCACUAUUCACCAAUACUCUACCUUUAAUUUUUGACACCUACUUAUUUAAUAUGGUUGUAAAGUGAAGCUAAGUGUCAAUAACUUCCUAAUGUCUUUUCCUGCCUUCUUUUCCUGACUACCAAAGAAUGAUGGUUCUUCAUACAACAAAACCCAUCUUCCUAUGUCACCUUUAAGUCAAUCAGGGAGAAACUUGAUCUCUAGCAAGCCAAUUUCAACAUCUCCCAGAGCUGGAAGCCAUGACUAUCCAAGAAUGAGGGAUCUUCAUGCAACAGAACUCAUCUUCCUAUGUCACCUUCAGGCAUCCUCACUGCAGCACAUGGAUCAGCCUCGCCGAGAGACUCUCUUGCAUCAGACCCAGCUUAAAAUUGCGUUCCAGUAUAAGCUACUUCUGUGGAGUGGGAUGGCUCUUGAUGUCUGUGCAGGAAGACCUAUGUAGAAUAAUGGUACAAAUCCAUUGUUCUCAUCUCCCUGGGAAAAUGACAUUGUUGCAAAAGACUGUGAAUUUACCAUGAAAUUGACAUUGUACAUGAACUGAAUAAAAACUUUUAUUCAAAAUAAAAUUAUUUUGCAUGUGUUUUCAAAAUCUUUACAAAUACUAUUGUGAUGAAUAAAAAAUAGAUGGGGCAAGACAAAAGAAACUAGAUAAGGGUCUUCCCACCCAUCCAGGUACUGUGCCUCCUUCUCAAAUUGCUUGACUGAGUUUGGCCAGGUCCCAGGGCUCAUGACAGUGCCUUGUGAGGGCCCUUCAGCCUCCACAUCUGGCCUCAUAAUAUAGCCUUUGCUUUCUCAUUGAGGAAGGUAAGGAGAAAAGGAUGGCCAAGGGGUGAGGAUGGGUGUUACAAAGGCUACAGCCUAAUUGACAUCUAUGGAGGAGAGAGCUUUCCUAGGUCUGAUGAGCAGGAAGAUGGUGCUACUGAAGACAAUAAAGAUCAUUGUGCAGUGUGAUCCACAUGUGGAGAAAGCUUUCUGCCAGCCACUGCCCAAGGAGAUCCAUAGCUCAGGGUUUACAAUGUAGUAAUAAGAGAUGAAUCCCAGAAUUCCCUCAGGUAGGUGUUGGAGUAGGAUAGCUAAAGCAGAGGUUCCUUGACACAGAAGGAGUAGUUAAUGACAGUUGAGAUAAACUCAGGAAGGACAGUGGAUACCAUGGCUAGUAGAGAACUUGCCCAGGUGGCUCCAGCCAGCUGGACACACACAGCCUAGCCCAAAGUGCAGUGGGUGGCAAAUGGCCACAAAACUGUCAAUGGCCCUGUCUGACAAGAAGAGGAUGGAGGUGGAAUCCAGGAAAAAGUAGCAGUAGAAGUGGACCAUGCAGCCAGUAAAGGAGAUAAGAUGUUGAAGAUCAGCAGGUCUGAGAGCAUCUUGGGCAUCAC